rnacentral:rRNA from 12 species
CACACGACUCUCGGCAACGGAUAUCUCGGCUCUCGCAUCGAUGAAGAACGUAGCAAAAUGCGAUACCUGGUGUGAAUUGCAGAAUCCCGCGAACCAUCGAGUUUUUGAACGCAAGUUGCGCCCGAGGCCUUCUGGUCGAGGGCACGUCUGCCUGGGCGUCACGC